ensembl:lncRNA
GUCCAGUGUGUGGAUAGAGUCCAGUGUGUGGAUAGAGUCCAGUGUGUGGGUAGAGUCCAGUGUGUAGGUAGAGUCCAGUGUGUGGGUAGAGUCCAGUGUGUGGGUAGAAUCCAGUGUGUUGAUAGAGUCCAGUGCGUGGAUAGAGUCCAGUGUGUGGAUAGAGUCCAGUGUGUGGAUAGAGUCCAGUGUGUGGGUAGAGUCCAGUGUGUGGGUAGAGUCCAGUGUGUGGGUAGAGUCCAGUGUGUGGGUAGAGUCCAGUGUGUGGGUAGAGUCCAGUGUGUGGAUAGAGUCCAGUGUGUGGAUAGAGUCCCAUGUGUGGAUAGAGUCCCGUGUGUGGGUAGAGUCCAGUGUGUGGGUAGAGUCCAGUGUGUGGAUAGAGUCCAGUGUGUGGGUAGAGUCCAGUGUGUGGAUAGAGUCCAGUGUGUGGAUAGAGUCCAGUGUGUGGGUAGAGUCCAGUGUGUGGAUAGAGUCCAGUGUGUGGGUAGAGUCCAGUGUGUGGG